AACCGGGGGCAGCGGGGCGGGCGCUGGGCACGGCAUAUCGGGAACCGGGGCACGGCACCGGGCACUGGGGCAUGGCACACGGGCAUAGGGAGCAAUGGGGCGGGCGCUGGGCACGGCAUACCGGGAACCGGGGCACGGUACCGGGAACCGAGGGCAGCGGGGCGGGCGCUGGGCACGGCACAGCGGGAAUCGGGACACAGCACAACAAGCACCGGGCACAAGGGCAGGCACUGGGCAUGGCACGCUGGGAGCCGGGGCACGGCGCACCGAGCAGCGGGCAGCGGGUGCUGGGCGCCAGCAGCAGGAACCGCGUGGCAGCUCCUGAGCUGGGCACCGGGGACCGGGCAGUGGAGGGUGGAAGUGGGGUUGGGUACCGGGCACCCUGAUGGGUGCGGGCACUGGGCAUCGGGGGCCGUUCCCGGGAGAGUGGCACCGGUGCUGGGUGCAGGGAAGCCCCCGGGUGGCACCAGCCAGGUGCUGGUGACACCGGUGCUGGGUGCAGGGCAUCCCACCGGGCACUGGGCAGGAUGAGGUCCCUACAGACACGCACCAGAGCCUGGGUCUGGGUUUGGAGCUGGAGCUGUCUCUGGGCUUGAAUCCACAAUUGGAUCAAGACUGCACCACGUGUGGGUCUGCACUUGGGUCUGUGUCUGGAUUUAGAUCAGGAUUUGGAACUGGAUUCUGAUCCACAUCUGGAUUUGCAUUUGGAGCUGAAUUUGGAUCCACAUCUGGACUUGCCUUCAGAGCUGGAUUCAGCUCCUCAUCUGGAUCCGAGUCUGGGACACGCAUCUUUCAAAAAGGAUGGAUGUAGCCUUUCCACCCCCUGCUCUCCGAGCAUUCCACGGGUGCACAGAGCACCAUCACCCCACGGGGUGUUUGUUCAUCACUGCCCACUUACCGUGCUCUGGGCACCUUCAGGGGCAAGCUGGGGUCUGCAGCAGUGUGACAGGAGCCCUGAGCAGGGAGCAGAGGGGAGGGACGAAAUGGCAGCGGUCCCGCUGGCCUUGGCUGUGCUCAGCGGUAUCCGGUGUAAGCCCUCGCUGCAGGGUGGUGGCAGCUGGUUAUUCAUGAGCGUUUUGGAUGUGCCACCAGCACCUGCAGUGCUCCGAGAGGGGUGACACCCGGGACCCCUCCGUUCUCGUGUCCCCAGUGCUGACACCCAGCUUUGGCCGAGGCGACGUGUGCAGAUAUUUUAAGAGGAAGACUCUGUGCUCUCACAGCUUGACUGCUAAUUUAUAAUCCUGUUUUCCUAUUAAAAUAAAAGCCUCUCUCUUAUUCCCGAACGUGAGAGCCAAAGCGGAGCUCUGAGGAAGUGCCCUGUUUGCAGAACACACUGAAACACACAAAGGAAACGAGGCAAAACCAGCGUUUUGCACGUUUUUCGAGCCUCAUUUUAGCAGGCACUUGGAACAGCAGAAGGGAAAUCUUUUCCAGCAGGAUGUGCACAGCGGGGGAGUGCGCGGAGCUGCUGGUGUCCCUUUGGAGCGGGGCCACCUGCCCGCCGGGGGACAGCGACCGCUGCGGUGCCUGUUUGUCCCCGAGGGGUGGCAGGUCCCUCGGGGAUGCCAGGGGCGAGAGAUGGAGCAGCACGUCCCCCGUGGGGCCGGCCGGGCGGGGAUGGCAGCCGGGGGCAGGAAAUACCUGCUGCUCCGCCGCUUCCCGGCCAAGGCGAACAAGAGGGAGAGUGUUCGGAGGCCGCGUGUGGCAGGAGGGGCCUCCCGGGGACACACGGGCCAUUGUUCCUCGAGGAUGUGGGGCGGAAAUUUGGAUGGACCCGUUGCGUGCCACGCUCCCAGCACUGCCGGGACUGGUCGCAGACUUGAGUGGGUUCAGGGUGGGAAUUGGUGAAACGCUGUGGUUGGUGGAGGGGGUCACUGAUAUUCCACCAGCCCCAGUGGAACAAACCCCUUGAGAGGGCUCUGCUGCUCCUUGCAGCCAGAGCAUGGCACAUGCCCGGGGAUUUUCAGCCUUUCCAGAGCUCCUGCUGGUGUUUGUAGUGGCCCUGCAGUAGCUCUGCUGUCUGCCUGCUCCACCCGCACCCCACCAGCCUUGCAGCAACCUGGAAAGACAUUUAAUACAGGCUGGGUUUGAUCUGCACUUUGACAUUCCUUCAAGUGUUCCCUGGUGUUUUCCUGUCGCUUGCACAGCGCCUUUCCCCACCAACGCUCCCUCACUGCUGUAAAAAGGAAGAAAAAGGCUUGCAGAGUGUGCCCAGCCUUGCAAAUCCCUAAUUACCCACUGCACAUCCUGGCUUCCCUUGGAGCAGCGUUGCUGUCAGCAGGGAUGGGGUGCAGGCUCUCCCCAGCGUGGCUGAGGAUGCUGAUCCUUGCAGAGACAGCAGAGAGGUUUUUCUGGCUGCUCCCACCUGGCUCUGCUCUCCUUCCCCCAGCACCCAUCCCUGCACCAGAACUGAAGAGGUUUUUAGGAGAGAGGCUGGGAAAAGGGGGAGAUAAGAGAUUGUGCUGCUCUCCUUCCAUGCUUCACCCUUUCUCAGGAACUGGCCAGAUUGUUUCCAUUAGGAAAAGCUGAGGAUCCAAGUAUUUGUCAAUGACCAGGAGAAGAUUUGCUGAUGGAAGCUGCCGUUCCCUCCAAUAACGUUGAGCGAGGUGCUUGGCGUGGACCCAUCCUUUUAUGGUAAAAUUAGGGCUAAACGCUGUGGGGAUUUGCAUUUGAAGUUGAUUGAUACGUGGCAUUAGUGCACGCGUAGAUAAUUUUGUAUUUUGAGAUCGCUGAGCAAGGAAUAAUUUUUAUUUUGGGUCAAAGAUAAGGGCAUUGCGUUGAGAUGAAAUAUGAAGGGGUGCUGAUCUGUGUCACGGACACUGCGUUUCUCUUGGCUGGGUAAGGGGAUGGCAGCCCUGCAUUACCCAUUCCUGCCCUUGCUUUUAAGUGCUUUGGGUCUGUGCCCGAUGCAAGGAGUGAUCCCCUGCUGUCACUUAAUGCCAGGACACGGUUCCAACUUUAUGAGCUUUGGAGUUUCCCCUUAUUAAAAAAAAAAAAAAGGCAAACAAAAAA